rnacentral:rRNA from 1 species
CUGAUCACCGAAGUUAAGCAUCGUAGAGCCAGGUCAGUACUUAGAUGGGGGACCGCUUGGGAACACCUGGUACUGUAAG